CUGAGACUCACAUGCACUUGCUCACACACAUCACAUGCACACUGACUCAUGUACUCAAACGUGCUUACACUCACAUCACCUGCAGACUCGUGCACUCAUGCUCACUUACACACAUGCCACACACACAAUUCACACUUGCUCACACAUAUCACAUGCAGUCACAGACUCAUGUGCAGUCACAGAAUUACUCAUGCACAUUACAUGCACAGACUCACAUGCACUCACACACUCACUAAAACACAUCACACGCAGGCAUGCACUCACACACACAUCACAUGCACAUACAGACUCAUGCACUCACACACACACUGCAUGCACAGACACAUGCACUCACUGUCGCUUACACUCACACACCACAGACUCAUGCACUCACAGACACAUCACAUGCACACCCACAUGCACUCACACUCGCUUACAUAUAUCACAUGCACACACACACACACUCAGAUGCACAUGCACUCAGUUAUACACACACAUCACAUGCACACUGACAUGCACUCACCCACUCAUACACAUCACACACACUCAGAC
rnacentral:lncRNA from 1 species